rnacentral:lncRNA from 10 species
AGACCCGGUGCCACGUACCAUGGGUGCAAAGGGGAGCAGCAUAGGUAAGAUCUGUGCCUUCCGAAGAGGGUAGAGUCUUCUGGAGGGACAUUACAAAUAAUCAGGCACUCCCAGUGCUGGGAGCUAAGUUCUGUUACAGGGAAGAGAAAGAAACAAUGGGAAUACCAAGGAGGAUAUUUACAGAGGGGGAAGGCUUUGAGCUGAAAUUGAACGGUGAAUAAAGGCUGAGCAGCCAUGGUGAGAUGGGGGGAGACUCUUCUGAAUGGUGUGGUGGCGGAAGUGGGGGUGGGGGGGAUGCAACAGUCUUGUUGGACUGGAACAUAGAGUUCAAAUGGCGGAAUUUCAGAGCUUUGACGCUCUACUAUUAAGAAGGUCCAGCAAGUUCUGCCGUGAACAGUUGUGCUCAUAGCUAGCUGUGUGAUCUUGAACAAGUUUCUUUGUCUCCAAAACCUAGUUUUGUUACAGGUAGAUAGGCAAGAGUGGGCUCUCCCCCGACGCACUAGAAAUGUCGGAUGACAGUUCCACAGUUAUCGCAUUGCCUCUCUAAAAAUCAUAAUUCAGCAGCCAGGGAGAGACAAUCUCCUGAUGGUCCAUAACCUUGACAUUAAAAGUGUUAACUGAAUACAGAUCCCAGGGAGAAGCAGAUUCUUGGGCAUGUGUGUUAAGAGAUAAAAUGGCAAAGUAUGACUUUCCGGGGUACACGCCACAGGAAAAAGGAAAAAGUCUCAGGUGGGCAUGCGUGUAACUCCCUAAACGCACUGCGCGUGCUCAAUUCCAAAGGCUAAGGAAAGCAUUGCGCAUGCGGGAAACCCACGCUGAGGGAAGAAUCAUGGGAAAGAGGUGAGCCUGUAAAGUUUUAGGAUCAAGGUUAAAGGCCCUUUUUUGCUCUCUUCUCUCUUGGACCUUCAGGCGACGGCUUGGGUAUCUUCCAAGCGAAUUUUCCUUUCUUUCCUGUUCUUUUUUUUUUUUGAGACGGAGUCUUGCUCUGUCGCCCAGGCUGGAGUGCAGUGGCGUGAUGUCGGCUCACUGCAAGCUCCGCCUCCCGGGUUCACGCCAUUCUCCUGCUUCAGCCUCCUGAGUAGCUGGGGCUACAGGCGCCCGCCACCACGCCCGGCUAAUUUUUUUGUAUUUUUUUUUUUAGUAGAGACGGGGUUCCACCGUGUUAGCCAGGAUGGUCUCGAUUUCCUGACCUCGUCAUCCUCCCGCCUUGGCCUCCCAAAGUGCUGGGAUUACAGGCUUGAGCCACCGCGCCCCGCUCUUUCGUGUUCCAAAGGCUUUUUAAAUAAACUUCCACUCCUGUCCUGGAUUCUGCUUUAUGGCCCUCAGUCGAAUUCUUUCUUCUGAGGAGGCAAGGACUGAAGUUGCUUCUGACCAGUACAGAUUGGGAAGGAGAAAGUCACUUGACUCACAGGCCAACUGCUAUGGACUGAAUUGUGUCUUCCCCUCAUUAAUAUGUUGAAACCCUAUCCUCCCUCCAAUGUGAUGGUAUUUGCAGAUGGGGCUUUUGGGAAGUAAUGAAGUUUAGAUGAGGCAUGAGGGCUGGAUGGAUAUGAUCAGAUGAGUGCCCAAAGAAGAGACACCAGAGAGCUAGCUUCUUCUUUCUCUUUCCACCUUUACACACUGAGAAAAGGCCAAGUGAGCACACACCAAGAAGGCAGCCAUCUGCAAACCCAAGGAGAGAGUCCUCACUAGACACCCUGCUGGUACCUUGAUCUUGGACUUCUAGCCUCCAGAACUGUGAGAAAUAAAUUCCUGUUGUUCAAGCUAGUAUUAAUACCUGGUGUUUUGUUAUGGCAGCCUAAGUGACUAAGACACCAACUUAAUUUACUUAGCCAGGGUCAAUCAGUGGUAGGGCCCAGGAUUCUGACCCAGUUCUGCCUAACUCCACAAUUCAUGCUUUUUCUGGAUAUAAACAUCUGCCUUCCCAGUUUCCCUGACUCUUAGAGCCGUGGAGCAGUGUGUGUCAUGUGCUGCACACCCAGGCUGGAACAGCCUGUCUCCAGGAGAAAACGAAUACAGCAGGGAUGACUUCCACCAGCUCCACUUUGCAGCUCUGAGGUGUAUUAAAAAUAAACCUAGAGCCCCACCAAAUGAAUCCGCUGGCACGUGGACCUCAGAUGGGGGAAACUGAGGACUGAAUUCUGACCACCCUCCUUUGUUCUAAAUUUCUUCCUGAAGGACCUGGAAGAAGUCAUGCCACGGGCCAGACCUUAACAUUCCUUUCGGCUUACCCCAGGAUUUCAGACAAAGCUUCACUUUCCUAACCAGUCACAAAUCAGAGAAUUUUUGAUUCCACCUAUGACCUGUGAGCUCCUGCUUCAAGAUAUUCCACCUUUUUUAGGCCAAACCAAUGUAUAACCUCCAAGUGUCGAUUUACACUUUCGACUGUAACUUCUGCUUUCCUGAGAUUUACCCCUGCCUUUAAAAACCCUUGCUUGUAAUCCCUCAGGGAGGCCGUGUAUUUAUUAAUCAUGAGCUGCCCAAUUCUCCUUGCUUGGUGCCCUGCAAAUAAACACCCUCUUUUCUCCCACUGCAAAACCUCAGUGUGGAUGUUUGGCUUUACUUCACCCCCAGGAAAGCAGACCCAGGUUUGACUCAGCAACAACAUCUGUUUCUAUUUUUCUCUGUAUAAAUAUUAAAAACCAUAAGUACAUGCUAUCUCCAAUUCCAAUAUAAACCCAUAGGGCUCAUUCUGGCCUUCCCAUUUUCUUAUGUGUAAUUCAUUUCUCUGAAAAUGAGAAUUCGAGUACUCAGAUAUUUACUUACCUACUCAAUCCUAGAAUAGAAAUAAAAUAAUUCAACAUAAUACCUUCUUAAGUUCCUGGACUUAGUUACACAAAAGUGAGGAAUUACACAUGAAUUCUAAAAUGUGAUUUUAAAAAUCUUUCCUUUUCCUUCUUAUCACCCUUAGUAGCUCUCUACAGUA